AGCCCCGUCGUCUAGUGGCCAAGGAUACAGGCCUUUGGAGCCUGGGACGUGAGUUCGACUCUCACCGGGGCUA
rnacentral:tRNA from 2 species